rnacentral:rRNA from 1 species
AUUGAACGCUGGCGGAAUGCUUUACACAUGCAAGUCGAACGGCAGCACGGGGGCAGCCCUGGUGGCGAGUGGCGAACGGGUGAGUAAUACAUCGGAACGUGCCCGGUCGCGGGGGAUAACGUAGCGAAAGUUACGCUAAUACCGCAUACGAUCUGAGGAUGAAAGCGGGGGACCUUCGGGCCUCGCGCGAUCGGACCAGCCGAUGUCAGAUUAGGUAGUUGGUGGGGUAAAGGCCUACCCAGCCGACGAUCUGUAGCUGGUCUGAGAGGACGACCAGCCACACUAGGACUGAGACACGGCCCAGACUCCUGCGGGAGGCAGCAGUAGGGAAUUUUGGACAAUGGGCGCAAGCCUGAUCCAGCCAUUCCGCGUGCAGGACGAAGGCCUUCGGGUUGUAAAAUGCUUUUGUACGGAACGAAAAGGCUCUGGCUAAUACCUGGGGCUCAUGACGGUACCGUAAGAAUAAGCACCGGCUAACUACGUG